rnacentral:lncRNA from 1 species
GUCUUUAUUUUCUACAUUUCCUGUGAAAGGCUAAUUUUGCUGCUUUCAAGCAAUUCAAAAUGAUUAUAGACAGAGUCUUGCUCUGUUGCCAGAUUGGAGUGAAGUGGCGCGAUCUCAGCUCACUGCACCCUCUGACUCCCUGAUUCAAGUGAUGCUCCUGCCUCAGACUCCCAAGUAUUUCCUAUAUCUUCCUGUCUUUUCCAUGGCCAAAAAUGAUCAAGUAAAGAACAUUAAAGAAGAAAUAAAUUACUACAUAUUAAAAAAUACAUACUGUAAGAUGUUCUUUGUACAAAAAUGUGACAACUUCAAUAAGAGUAACUUGGACAACCUGAGGCAUUAAUUGAGGAUCAAUAUGAUGACUUUACAUUGAGAAUCACAUAUACCCUCUGAAUAAAUUUAAAAAAUGAAAUUUUUUAAUUUUCAUUAAAAAUUAAAUUUUUUUGAGUGAUGAAAAUACUCAAUCACAUUAUUUUCAAAUUGUUGAUAAGCAUGGAAAUUAUCAGAGAACCAGAAUAUUCAAGGUUUAUCUUUCCUGUUUUUGUCUUAAAUCACAACUAUGUGUUAAAUAAUUUGUAUGACCUAUUUCAGUGGCAGUAGGUUAAAUAAAAUUCUGUUUGUA